UUUUAUGGAGAGUUUGAUCCUGGCUCAGGAUGAACGCUGGCGGCGUGCCUAAUACAUGCAAGUCGAGCGAACGGAUGAGAAGCUUGCUUCUCUGAUGUUAGCGGCGGACGGGUGAGUAACACGUGGAUAACCUACCUAUAAGACUGGGAUAACUUCGGGAAACCGGAGCUAAUACCGGAUAAUAUUUUGAACCGCAUGGUUCAAAAGUGAAAGACGGUCUUGCUGUCACUUAUAGAUGGAUCCGCGCUGCAUUAGCUAGUUGGUAAGGUAACGGCUUACCAAGGCAACGAUGCAUAGCCGAC
rnacentral:rRNA from 1 species